AUAAGCCAACCGGAAGUUGGCGUACCCCGGGGGAGUGUUGUCAACGCGCAGUUCCACCGGACUGGCAACGCUUCUACGAAUACUAUUACAAAGGGAAACUGUAGUACCUAUAUGGACUUGGCAAACUGUCAAGGAGAUGAGAUUAUUAGCAAGAAAUUAGAAUAACGAGGCGUGAACAAAGACAAAUUGGCACAAUUCUUUAAUCUAAAACAAACUUAUGUCUAAAGUUAGUAAAAUCUUAAUCUAUUGUUAGUUAAUGAUAAAAGUUAAUAAGCUAUUUUCUAUUAGUACGCUUAACCUAAACGAACGGCGAGCAAUUCAUUACGGCAGUUAAAUCUAAAAUCACACAAAUAAUUAGUUGGUAUCCAUGCAACAAUAACCGUCAGAGUAUCAAUUGUUGUCUGACUCCGAGCGCGUAGUAAACGAAUUUUAUAACCGCCCCCACAUUGAACUCAAAUAAACGGUUUAUAAAAACGGAAUCUGCUCUUUGUUGUAUGGUGAGCCAACAGCACCGUUU